GCCUUCAGCACACCUGGUCCUUGUCAAUCCCCCUUCGUUUUACUGCUUCCCAGUCACUUCCUGCAGGAAGUGCCAUCCACGCAGUGCAGUACAUCCCACCGCUGACACCAGUUGUCAUGGAGUCCCUGGGCGAAGCUCUGGAACUGCUCCCUACGAAGCCAGGCAGGACUUGGGGGAAGAGCAAACGUCUGAACUCCAGCCAC